UGCGGCAGCGACACUGUGUGUUGUUGGGUAGGGGAGCGUUCUGUAAGCCUGUGAAGGUGUGUCGUGAGGCAUGCUGGAGGUAUCAGAAGUGCGAAUGCUGACAUAAGUAACGAUAAAGCGGGUGAAAAGCCCGCUCGCCGGAAGACCAAGGGUUCCUGUCCAACGUUAAUCGGGGCAGGGUGAGUCGACCCCUAAGGCGAGGCCGAAAGGCGUAGUCGAUGGGAAACGGGUUAAUAUUCCCGUACUUGGUGUUACUGCGAAGGGGGGACGGAGAAGGCUAUGUUGGCCGGGCGACGGUUGUCCCGGUUUAAGCGUGUAGGUGUGUGUUCCAGGUAAAUCCGGUUCACUUUAACACUGAGGCGUGACGACGAGGCACUACGGUGCUGAAGCAACAAAUGCCCUGCUUCCAGGAAAAGCCUCUAAGCAUCAGGUAACAUCAAAUCGUACCCCAAACCGACACAGGUGGUCAGGUAGAGAAUACCAAGGCGCUUGAGAGAACUCGGGUGAAGGAACUAGGCAAAAUGGUGCCGUAACUUCGGGAGAAGGCACGCUGACACGUAGGUGAAGUGAUUUACUCAUGGAGCUGAAGUCAGUCGAAGAUACCAGCUGGCUGCAACUGUUUAUUAAAAACACAGCACUGUGCAAACACGAAAGUGGACGUAUACGGUGUGACGCCUGCCCGGUGCCGGAAGGUUAAUUGAUGGGGUCAGCGCAAGCGAAGCUCCUGAUCGAAGCCCCGGUAAACGGCGGCCGUAACUAUAACGGUCCUAAGGUAGCGAAAUUCCUUGUCGGGUAAGUUCCGACCUGCACGAAUGGCGUAAUGAUGGCCAGGCUGUCUCCACCCGAGACUCAGUGAAAUUGAACUCGCUGUGAAGAUGCAGUGUACCCGCGGCAAGACGGAAAGACCCCGUGAACCUUUACUAUAGCUUGACACUGAACAUUGAGCCUUGAUGUGUAGGAUAGGUGGGAGGCUUUGAAGUGUGGACGCCAGUCUGCAUGGAGCCGACCUUGAAAUACCACCCUUUAAUGUUUGAUGUUCUAACGUGGACCCGUUACCCGGGUUGCGGACAGUGUCUGGUGGGUAGUUUGACUGGGGCGGUCUCCUCCUAAAGAGUAACGGAGGAGCACGAAGGUUGGCUAAUCCUGGUCGGACAUCAGGAGGUUAGUGCAAUGGCAUAAGCCAGCUUGACUGCGAGCGUGACGGCGCGAGCAGGUGCGAAAGCAGGUCAUAGUGAUCCGGUGGUUCUGAAUGGAAGGGCCAUCGCUCAACGGAUAAAAGGUACUCCGGGGAUAACAGGCUGAUACCGCCCAAGAGUUCAUAUCGACGGCGGUGUUUGGCACCUCGAUGUCGGCUCAUCACAUCCUGGGGCUGAAGUAGGUCCCAAGGGUAUGGCUGUUCGCCAUUUAAAGUGGUACGCGAGCUGGGUUUAGAACGUCGUGAGACAGUUCGGUCCCUAUCUGCCGUGGGCGCUGGAGAACUGAGGGGGGCUGCUCCUAGUACGAGAGGACCGGAGUGGACGCAUCACUGGUGUUCGGGUUGUCAUGCCAAUGGCACUGCCCGGUAGCUAAAUGCGGAAGAGAUAAGUGCUGAAAGCAUCUAAGCACGAAACUUGCCCCGAGAUGAGUUCUCCCUGAGACUUUAGGUCUCCUGAAGGAACGUUGAAGACGACGACGUUGAUAGGCCGGGUGUGUAAGCGCAGCGAUGCGUUGAGCUAACCGGUACUAAUGAACCGUGAGGCUUAACCUUACAACGCCGAAG
rnacentral:rRNA from 1 species